GGGGUCAUAGCUCAGUUGGUAGAGUGUUUGAAUGGCAUUCAAGAGGUCGGGGGUUCGAAUCCCCCUGACUCCACCA
rnacentral:tRNA from 2 species